rnacentral:rRNA from 1 species
AACGAACGCUGGCGGCGUGCUUAACACAUGCAAGUCGAGCGAGAAAGGGAGCUUCGGCUCCUGAGUAAAGCGGCGCACGGGUGAGUAACACGUGGGUAACCUGCCUUUCAGUGGGGGAUAACAGUCCGAAAGGGCUGCUAAUACCGCAUUCGUCCACGAGCACUCAUGUGGUUGUGGAGAAAGAGGCGCAAGUCUCGCUGGAAGAUGGGCCCGCGGUCCAUUAGCUAGUUGGUGGGGUAAAGGCCUACCAAGGCUUCGAUGGAUAGCUGGUCUGAGAGGAUGAUCAGCCACACUGGAACUGAGACACGGUCCAGACUCCUACGGGAGGCAGCAGUGGGGAAUAUUGCGCAAUGGGCGAAAGCCUGACGCAGCAACGCCGCGUGUGUGAUGAAGGCCUGG